UAGUCCACGCCGUAAACGAUGUCAACUAGCCGUUGGGAUUUAUCUUAGUGGCGCAGCUAACGCGAUAAGUUGACCACCUGGGGAGUACGUCGGCAACGAUGAAACUCAAAGGAAUUGACGGGGGCCCGCACAAGCGGUGGAGCAUGUGGUUUAAUUCGAUGAUACGCGAGGAACCUUACCUAGGCUACAAUGCCUUUGCCAUACUGUGAAAGCAGUAGUUCCUUCGGGACAAAGUGCAAGGUGCUGCAUGGUUGUCGUCAGCUCGUGCCGUGAGGUGUUGGGUUAAGUCCCGCAACGAGCGCAACUCCUAUUCUUAGUUGCCAGCACAUAAUGGUGGGGACUCUAAGGAGACUGCCUGCGCAAGCAGUGAGGAAGGUGGGGAUGACGUCAAAUCAUCAUGGCCCUUACGCCUAGGGCGACACACGUGCUACAAUGGACGGUACAGAGGGUCGCGACACGGCAACGUGAAGCCAAUCUCAAAAAGCCGUUACUCAGUUCGGAGUUG
rnacentral:rRNA from 1 species